rnacentral:misc_RNA from 1 species
GGAUAAUUGGCUUCAUAGAUGGACAUGAUAACAUGUAGAAAUUAACAAAGUUCUACCAAAUCAACAGCACAUCAAAUACCCAGAGGAGAAUCUACUUUGUGAAAGAACGUGAGAAAUUGAUAGAAAUAGCAAGGUUUUUAGCUAAAGCAAGACAUACCUUUAAAUAUCACACAUAUAGAUGUGCAUCAGAUUGACAUAAACUUUGGAAGGAAAGCAGAUUCAAUGGUGCAUUCAUCCCACUCAAGUCCAUCCCACCAUUCCUUGCUCCCGUACACUGUUGGUAAUGUCAAGUUCUUAUGAGUUUUGAUUGGUAGCUUUUUCAGCCGCGGGCAAUCAAUCACAGCAAUGCUUUCCAGGGAAGGAAAAACCAAUGCCCAUUGGGUGAUACUUUUCAGCUCAGGAAGGUCUCGUAUAGAAAGAGUUUUGAGGUUAGGAAAUGCCUCUGAAUCUUCCAUUUGUAUCAUGUCCCUGCUAACUAUUUCUUCAAUCUCUUUGCAGUACAUCAAGUAAAUAACUUCUAGCUUUGGAAGUUGUAUAACCCACGAAACAUUCUUCAACCUAUGGCAAUGCCAUAUAUUUACGAAACGAAGAUUUUGCAGACAUUUUCGAGUCACAGGAUUCUUCCACACUAUUGCUAGGCUGGGAAGGCCAUGCAAAGCAAGAACUUCCAGGGCGGGAAGCCAAUUGUCUCCAGCCGCUUUAUCAACUUGCAAGUAAUGUAGGUCAUAACAGUUAUUGAUGCUAAGCCUUCUCAAACUUCGGCCAAAACUGGAAUUUGAUGAUACUUGUAAAUAAAGCAAGUCUUUACACUCUUUAAUGUACAAAUACUGUAUACAUUUCAAUAAGCUACCGAAAUUAUCAAGCCUCUUCAGGGUCAUCAAUUCCUUCACAGUUAUUCCAAGUGUGGUCAAGUGCUUCAAGCAUUCCAAGUCUGCAAUUCCAACUUCAUUCACACCCUCACAAUUGUGAUCUUCCCAACCUGAAUAACUAUAAUAAAAGUUCAGGACUCUCAAUUGCAAAAGGCCUGAUACAGCCUUUUGUGGAAUUGUUCUAAGAGAACUUGUUCGUUGUAGAUCCAAAUGCUUCAACUUCACCAGAUCUCCAAGCUCUUCAGGCAAUUCUGUUAUCUUUGUUCCUGAUAAAUCAAAAUGUUGCAACUCAACUAAUUUGUUGAUAGAUGCAGGGAUCUCUCUAAUACUGGUUAAUGACAAAUCCAGAACUCUUAGGGAAGGCAUAAAUUGGAAAAAUGCAUUUGGAAUUCUGCUCAAGCCACUGUUAAAUUGAAGAAGUAAGGUUAAUAAAUUGGGGCACUCAGAUAACUCUGUUAGAGUAGUGAUUCCAUUGUCCAUCAACGAAAUUCUCUGAGCUUCCUUCCACCUUUCAGCUAUGGGUGCUGCAGUGAGCCCCAUACUGGCCUCAACUAGAAAUAAACCCUUGUUGAAUCCACACUCAGUUGCUAUCCACAAAGCAAAACUUCUGAUAACAUCAUGCAUCUUUACUUGGGUUUUUUCUUCACCAGUUUCUAAUAGGCAUGCAACUUUCAGAGAUCCAAUGAUAGCAUGUCCUUUAUUAUGGACAUCACUGUCAUGAGAGCUGUCUAGAAAUCCUUCCCCUAUCCAAUACUCUAUAAGCUGCUCUUUAUCAAUAGAGUAGUCUUCAGGGUACAGAGAACAGUAUAAGAAGCAUGACCUCAAUGUAUCAGUCUCCAGAUUGUCAUAGCUAAAUUUUAGAAGAGUAAAUACAUCUUCCAUACCUCUAAGUUCCGAUGGAGAUCUGCUUAGUACGUCUAUUGCAUACUUCCAUUCUUCUUCAGUCUCUUUAUUAGCCAUGGCUUUCCCAAUGGUGAUUAAGGCAAGCGGCAAUCCUCCACAUUUUCUGACAAUGGUCUCAGCAUAAGGUCGAAUUGAUUCCAACUCCAAAAUCUCCCUUCCUCCAACCUUGUCACCGAAGAGUUUCCACGAGUCCUCCUCUCCCAAGAAUUCCACUUUCAGCUUCCGGUGAGCAUCCAUGUCGCUGCAAACAUCCAGUGAACGUCCUGUAAAUAUCACCUUGCAAUUGUUUUCCUUUUGUGGCAGAGGAAUUCCAAUAUUCUGAAGAUCAAUUCCUUCCCAAACAUCAUCCAAUAACAGGAGAAAUUUUUUCUUUCUCAUAACUCUACGUAUUUUUAAUGCUCGCUGUUGCUGGCUUUCACUCUCUUCCCAAGACAAGCCUAACCUGGUCCCAACAGCCUGUUGAAUCUUAUCAGCAGCAAAAUCCUUUGAGACCACAACCCAUAUGACUACAUCGUAACAGUGUGAUGUGGUAAGAAAUUCAUUGUUAAUACUCUUCAACAGGGUUGUCUUCCCAACGCCUCCCAUUCCGUAAAUUCCAAUGGUUCCAACUUCAUCCUCAGAAAGAAAUUGCAUAACCCUCUCCAACAUCAUACAUGGGCCAACAGCAGGCCUAUUAGGCACCUCCUGAACUGCUUCAGGAGACAACCUAUCUGCUACAACAGUAUCAAAAGCUCCUUUGCCAAUAAGUUCAUUAAUUUCUCUUUGCAACUUUGAAACUUUCUUGCUCAGCUUGUAUUUUGAACAAAAAUUGGCUGAGCAACACCCAUAGCAUUCAUUUCGCUGCCCAAGACUUUCUAUGAUCAAGCUUGCUUUAGAUUCAACAACUUCUACUCUUUCUAGCCACCCUUGGACUUGGUUUGUGCAGGUCAACCCCUCCAAAUCAGCACGACCAACCCUUCUCUUUAAAUCAUCGCUUUUAUCCUUCAAUUCCUUUAGUGCAGUAGUGAGGGAGCGAACCAUUUGAUUCACAUUGACCACAUUGCUCACCCUUGUAGCAAUACUUUUGCAAGAGCUACAAAUUAUCGGAGUCAGACCCACAAGUUCCAUGAAAGACAUCUCUCUGCUCUUAGAUAAGAAAGAAAAGAGGAGACAGAGAAGAAGCAUAAACUGAAUUGCUGCUUACUUCCUCUGCUGCUCACGUCUGAGUGGUGAAAUGAAGAGAUGAGCUUCUUGAGUUUGUGCCCGCACCCAGAUAAGAGAAUGCAAUGAAUAUACCAAUUCCAGCCUCCUUCAAAUGAUCCAUUGGAAAUGACUGCUGACCAACUCUCCUUCCUGGAGAUAAUUUAUAGAAGCCGCCAAUGUGGAAAAUUUCCAAGUUGACUAACCUUAUCGUGUGGACUUUGUUUAAACAUCAAUACGACACCUUUUUAUUUCUUUUACAAACAGUAUCACUUGAGUCACUGUUCCAAAGUAGUGUUUUCCUAUUACCGUACAAGGAAAACAAUCUUUCUCAACUGUAAGGAACACCCAACUCUUCAUUUAUCAUCGUUAUCUAACCCCGGUGUUGGGUAAAACGAAAUUAUCCAAUUCUUUUCCUUUCAUUUUACCUAAUCCACAGUCAGUCAUCUCCUAACAGCUACCCUUUC